CCUACGGGUGGCAGCAGUAGGGAAUAUUGCUCAAUGGGGGAAACCCUGAAGCAGCAACGCCGCGUGGAGGAUGAAGGUUUUCGGAUUGUAAACUCCUUUUGUUAGAGAAGAUAAUGACGGUAUCUAACGAAUAAGCACCGGCUAAAUCCGUGCCAGCCGCCGCGGUAAUACGGAGGGUGCAAGCGUUACUCGGAAUCACUGGGUGUAAAGAGCGCGUAGGCGGGAUAGCAAGUCAGAUGUGAAAUCCUAUGGCUUAACCAUAGAACUGCAUUUGAAACUGUUAGUCUAGAGUAUGGGAGAGGUAGGUGGAAUUCGUGGUGUAGGGGUAAAAUGCGUAGAGAUCAAGAGGAAUACUCAUUGCGAAGGCAACCUGCUAGAACAUAACUGACGCUGAUGCGCGAAAGCGUGGGGAGCAAACAGGAUUAGAUACCCUGGUAGUC
rnacentral:rRNA from 1 species